rnacentral:rRNA from 1 species
UACAGGGGGUGCAAACGUUGCUCGGAAUCAUUGGGCGUAAAGCGCACGUAGGCGGUCUGUUAUGUCGGAUGUGAAAGCCCUUGGCUUAACUGAGGAAGUGCAUCCGAAACUGGCAGGCUAGAGUACUAAAGAGGGUCGCGGAAUUCCCGGUGUAGAGGUGAAAUUCGUAGAUAUCGGGAGGAACACCGGUGGCGAAGGCGGCGACCUGGGUAGAUACUGACGCUGAGGUGCGAAAAGCGUGGGGGAGCAAACAGG